rnacentral:rRNA from 1 species
UCGAGAAUCAUUCGCAAUGGACGAAAGUCUGACGGUGCGACGCCGCGUGGAGGAUGAAGGCCUUAGGGUCGUAAACUCCUGUCAUCAGAGAGUAAGGUUUUUGGGUUAAUAGCCUAAAAAAUUGAUAGUAUCUGAAGAGGAAGGGACGGCUAACUUCGUGCCAGCAGCCGCGGUAAUACGAAGGUCCCGAGCGUUGUUCGGAUUUACUGGGCGUAAAGAGUAUGUAGGCGGCAAGGUAAGUCAGAUGUGAAAGCCCAGGGCUCAACCCUGGAACUGCAUCCGAUACUGCUUUGCUUGAGUAAUGGAGGGGUAUCUGGAAUUCACGGUGUAGCAGUGAAAUGCGUAGAUAUCGUGAGGAACACUAGUGGCGAAGGCGAGAUACUGGACAUUUACUGACGCUGAGAUACGAAGGCCAGGGUAGCGAAAA